rnacentral:rRNA from 1 species
GACGAACGCUGGCGGCGUGCUUAACACAUGCAAGUCGAACGGAAAGGCCCUGCUUGCAGGGUACUCGAGUGGCGAACGGGUGAGUAACACGUGGGUGAUCUGCCCUGCACUUCGGGGUAAGCCUGGGAAACUGGGUCUAAUACCGGAUAGGAGCCAUUUUUAGUGUGAUGGUUGGAAAGUUUUUUCGGUGUAGGAUGAGCUCGCGGCCUAUCAGCUUGUUGGUGGGGUAAUGGCCUACCAAGGCGGCGACGGGUAGCCGGCCUGAGAGGGUGGACGGCCACAUUGGGACUGAGAUACGGCCCAGACUCCUACGGGAGGCAGCAGUGGGGAAGAUUGCACAAUGGGCGCAAGCCUGAUGCAGCGACGCCGCGUGGGGGAUGACGGCCUUCGGGUUGUAAACUCCGUUCGCUAGGGACGAAGCUUUUUGUGACGGUACCUAGAUAAGAAGCACCGGCUAACUACGUG